GGGCUGAGGGCAUGUGGAAACAAAGAAUGUUGUCAACCUGAACACUCCAUUUUGCAUUGAUAGGAAAAUGAUUAAGUAAUGAAUAUGUUUUGCUUAUCAAGAUCAUGUUUUUUGACAGACAUUUGUGUUCCACCAGCAGGAGAUCAUCAGCGACAUGCCCAUGGCCACCGACUUCAAGUCCUGCUGGCCAGAAAUGUUGGAUAUUGGAGAGAUCCAUGCAGAGUUGACGCGUCGCCACUGCCACUGCAGUUAAAGUUUCUUUCCCAGCUGGACCGCCAUUGCGAUGACCUGGUGAAAAUUUUCCAGAAGAGGGGAGAGCAAACCGCAAGAAAACUGCAGUCAUUGACAUUUGUGUUGCACCAGCAGGAGAUCAUCAGCGACAUGCCCAUGGCCACCGACUUCAGGUCCUGCUGGCCAGAAAUGUUGGAUAUUGGAGAGAUCCAUGCAGAGUUGACGCGUUACCACUAUGCCACUGCAGUUAAAGUUUCUUUCCCAGCUGGACCUUCACUGUGAUGACCUGGUGAAAAUCUUCCAGAAGAGGGGAGGGCAAACCGCAAGAAAACUGCAGUCAGUGGAUUUCACUGCAGCUCAGGUGCAGCUCAGCAAACGGCCAUGGGGAUAAAGCUCUAUGACGAUGGACAAUAUGGACGUUCACAUUGUGUGAGAAGGUGUUGGAAGUUCUUGGUGAUCUUGCCUGUGGCUCUGGCUGUAGUGAGGCUUUUUGUUUUGGAAUUAUCUCGCCCAGAAAAAUCUGUGUUUGAAAGAAGUCUGUAGUGAGGCCUCACACACACUUUACUUUAGUGUGACCUUUACCAUCUAGUAACUUGGCCUGCUUCUUGGAGAUCUUGACUGUGUGGCUCUGGCUUUAGUGACUGUUUGGGCUUUUCUUUUCUUUUCUUUUCUUUUCUUACAUUUUCAGAAUGGAUGCUAGCCACUCAUCAGUUUUUAUCCAUUUCCAAGUAUUCAUAAUGACUGGGAAUAUUACAAUUCAUACAAGGUGGGAAGGUGGCUGUUCACCAUUUUGGAUUUGUUGUAAUGGACCUCUUUGGCGGCAAAACUUACUGUACUUCGAACAGAUCAGUAAAUAUUAGUUUAUUACUAAGGAAACAUUCAUGAAAAGAUAUAAUUUGUGAAUGGGCGACUGAAAUGAUAUGCUGUAUUUUUAAGUUACCCCAGAAAAUGAUAAUGGUGCUAGAGGUUACAGUAUCUGCCCGAAUUGUCACUGAAAAUUUUGUGUAGUGUGUAGUUAUGCAAGACACUUCACUGCAUAUUGCGGUCUUCAGAUUCAUUUCAAAGAGCAAAUUGUGAAUGUGUUGCCUCUAUUUAAUGUAAUGCGUAAAAUGGAUUGUGAUUAUGAUCUGUGAAUUCAGUCUGUUCUACUCAUGUGUCUGACCUGCACUAAAGGUAUAUCCGAUGUCAUGAAUCAUUUGUUUAAAUAAAAGGAAAUUUGCAGUACA